UUUCAAUCAAAUGUGUUUAUGUGUUAAUAGUUAUCUAUCAGUUUGUAACAUACAUAUGUUUUCUGAAAAACUGAAGUGAUACUACUUGUGAAAAUAACUCAGGAGAUAUUAAAAGCUUUUGAUCACAAAAUAAAUUUUAAAUUUUUGACCCCAUUUAAAGCUUUUUGUUGUAGAGAAGUAGGGCGAGGUAAGCACAAAAGACUUCCAGGAGGCAAAGUAGAUGGCACUGGGGUCAAAUUUUGUGACAGAAGCCGAAUCACGUCCAGGAACGACCAAAACUUCCAAAGGAGCAAAAGCUAGUCCUUUUGCGGGGGCGCAGGCAGAAGCGGCGGCAGAAGCGGCGGCAGAAGCGGCAGGCGGAAGCGGCAGGCGGAAGCGGCAGGCGGAAGCGGAAGGCGUCCAUCUUUACCGUGUUCAGACCCGGAUGAGUCCUAGUCCCCGCCACACACAGGUCGUGGGUUCUCCUUUGAGAGUGACCACUGGUUCCUAGAGCUUUUCCUAAACUGGAGACGGAUCCUGCCCUGGGGGUCUCAGUCACCGCGAGGACUCGAGGGUAACUGCCAGAGGUCCCAGGUGGCCCGAGAUAGCAAAACUAAGUGUCAAAAGCACCUUCUGCACACAGUCUGCACACACUGGCCGGUGGUCCUGUUCCCGCAAGGUUGAGCUGUGUUCCAGAGACAUGGGUCCUCCGGGUGAUGAGGAGCCGCUGGAGGGCCCUGAGCUGCACGUGCUAAUGAUUAACGCCCCGUCCGUGCUGGCCGGUUUCUCAAAUGCCUCCUGACGAUUGCGCACAGCCGGACAUCAUUUGUACUGAGAGACAAAAGGAAAUCACUGAGGCUUUCUGAGGUGAGCUGGGCGGCCGCGGGGGGACUGGACUCACACCUGCUAACGGCCAGUCCACAGGACCUGCCCAGAGGCUCGGACACACAGCUGAAGUCACAUCCCACGGGGAGCAUCCUCACCAACUGACAAUCAGCACGGGUUUGUAAUUAAGGGUUUCUGCCCAGCCAAUGAACGGCCUCCAGAAACAACCUUUGUGGAACCCCCUAUAAAAGCCUUCCCAGCGCUUGCCUUCAGGACACUGCUCAGGGCUGACUCAGUGUACCCAAGCUGCAGUCUUUGUUUCCCAAAUAAGCAGUCAUUCAUUCUACCUCCGUGUCAAUCUUUUCUUCGUGAACACAGCUGGUGUCAGGAGCAGGGCUUAGCAAGAUCUCUCCUUUGAGCGGCUUUCUCUGGAAUCGGGUGAAGUCCCCACAACACAGAGGCCCCUGUGCGCGCCCCUUCUUUGGGGCCAGCACCUCCCUUCAACUGAGGCUGAUACCUUUAUUUGGGAAUCUGGGGGCAGUUGCUGCCUCUGUGCCGGCAAAGGCUUUCAGCUUGGAGGACGUUUUCCCUGCUUACUGGAGAUUUUCCCAAUGGUGAGUAUUAUUAUCUUAAGUAUGGGACUCUGUGCGUCUAAACCUCGUAACAGUUGUGCCCCCUCUGGACUCCAGCCCCGUUUAUCUGGAGCAAUGGACCUUUUUACAUUGGCCAAACUGGGGUUCCUUUGCUACACCAACCUAGGUUUUCUCUGAACUAAAUUAGAAGAACUUGGUUCCAAAACAAGGGUCUUAGCAUGUGGGAAGCCACAGAGCCCUAGGAAGGGGGCGUGCUCAUGGAAAGAUACUGAGCGCGAGGAGCGUUGGGUGCAGCUCCUCCAGAAGCGAGAGAACGGCCCGUGGCUAUGUAUUAAAAUAUACACGUCCAGAUGGGGUGCUUGUUUUAAUUGGCAUUUGGAGGCAUCUGGCUGGAUGCCAUCAGAACUCUAACAUUGCCUCUCUCCAAAACACAGCGCCUGAACUCACAGAGGCUGAUAAAGCACUGAAAGGUGGAGUCCUGGGCCCAGGGCUCCUCCUGCCCCUCGUUCGGGUUGUUCGUGAGUUUGGUGUGCUUUGGAAACAGACUUUUUAACCUCCAGAGGGAACCAAAUUAAAAAUGACACUUUUGUCAAUAGUUUAUUAAAUUCAAUUUGGCUUCCCUCUGGCCAUAAUCAAAAUUUCUGGGUAUUCAAAAUUGGAGUCAGAUGAGGCUAAAGAAAAACUUGGUUGAUUCCACAGCAAAAGCCGCUGCCUUGAGUUUCACUGAGACCAAAAACCUUACAGCUAAGAUAAUUUUCCCAAAAAGGAUGUAAAUGAUGUUAUUAAAGACACUCUGUCCCCAGCACCCCAUGAGCCAGUGUUACCAGAAUCUAUGAACACGUCAGACGACUCAUUGGGCAACUAAUGAACUUACACGUUUACAAAACAGUAUUGGUGGGGAAAUAUUUCAAGGGCGGCCGAAGAGGCACAACUGCCUUGUGCUGUUUGUCCAAAAUUCAACCCAGCAAAGACAAUUCGGAGAGUCCCAGGUCAUUCUGACCUGCCAAGUGGACCCUCUGAGGUUUGGCAAAUGGACUUCAUCCAGCCACUGCCUCUCAAGACUGUAAGUAUGUCGUGAUGAUUUGCAUGUUCUUCUCCUGGGUAGAAGCAUUCCCUUCCUGAUGUGCCGCUGCCUCAGAUGCUGCAAACUCUACAAGAACAGAUUCUCCCUAAGUGACAAGGGCAUAUCUUCACAGGUAGUGACAAGGAGCUCCACUGGCCAGGUCAUAAAACAAAUCUGUGAAGUCUGGUCCACAUGACAGCACUGUCAUUGUGCCUACCAUCCCCAAUCUUGCAGACUGGUGGAAAGCACAGAUGGCAUCAACUGGCAGAAUUUCAGGAAGCACUAAAAUUGCCCCGGCCAAAGGCACUUCCUCUGGUCCUUCUGAAUCUAAGGUCUGCACCUUUUGGAAACUGCAAGUUGUCACCUUUUGAAAUGAUCACUGGAGGGCCAAUGCAUAGAGUCCCUUCUGCUUUUAAUAGUCCACUGAUGAAAGGAGACAUGCUCCAGUAUUGUAAAGGAAUAAUGAAGGCUGUCCACGCAAGUCAUACCCUGGUCAGACAAUCUUUACACAGUGUGUUCCCAGUUGAUAAAGGCACCAGACAUCACAACCUUCAGCCUGAUCAUUUUCUCUAUUGGAAAAGACAUUUACAAAAAGAUUUCCUUCAACCUCAGUGAAGAGUCCACAUCAGGUACUCCUUACCCAUCCCUGUGCUGCCAAACUAAAAGGUGUUGACCCUUGGAUUGAGGUUUCUCAUUUAAAGAAACCUCUACCCCUGCUGGAAUUCGGACAAUCACCUGAAAUGAAAACUGACCCAAAAGUGAAGCAGAUGACAGUUGAGCUUGACUGAGGUCACGUCCCCAACGAGGGACAUGACUCCCUGGGACAAGUCCCUCCCAGCAACAAGGGACAUCAUCACAUUCACCAACUGAUCUGUGACACUUUCUGGAGGAAGAACUUGGUCAAAAGGGGGAAAUGUGAAAGAAAAUGAAGUCACUAAUGCUGAGGCUAAGUGGAACUGGGCGGCUGCGGGAGGCCUGCAUUCACACGGCUGACGGCCAGUCCACAGGACGCGCCCGUAGACUUGGACCAACAGCUGAAGUCAGCCCCUGACGGCCUUCACAUCUCCCAGCUGGGAGUGCCCUUAAGAACUAACCCAUCAGAAUGGGUUUCAUUUAGGAUUUCUGCCCAGCCAAUGAACUACCUCCAAAACCCCUUUGUGGAAAUCCCCUAAACAAAUCUCUCCAGGCCGGGCGAGGUGGCUCACACCUAUAUUCCCAGCACUUUGGGAGGCUGAGGUGGGAGGAUCACCUGAGGUCAGAAGUUCGAGACCAGCCUGGCCAACAUGGUGAAACCUCAUCUCUACUAAAAAUACAAAAAUUAGUCAGGG
rnacentral:lncRNA from 1 species